UACUCUCUCUCUCUCUAAGCUGGCACCGAAUAGUACUGUAGACUCGUCCAUCCACUUGUAUUCGCCUUGCCCCUCUCUCUCUCUCUCUCUCUCUGCCAUUUGUUUUUCCGCCCGGUCGAGACUUGAGACUCAAACCGGUGAAGCAAGAAUAAAGAAGGAAGACGAAGUGAAAAGGGUUAUUCGUCGGAGAUGUCUGGCGCGUGUGGUGGUGGCCAGGGUGGUGUGGGAGAGAUUAUGCUGUUCGGGGUGAGGGUGGUGGUGGACGCCAUGAGGAAGAGCGUGAGUAUGAACAAUCUGUCUCAGUACGAGCUGCAUCCACAGGAGGAGGGUUCCAUGGUUAACAACGGUAUCAACCUCAAUAACAAUAGCAAAGAAGAUGUGGCCGCAGCAGCAACUGCUGCAGCUGCCGUUGGUUAUGCCUCCGCAGACGACGCCGUUCCCAGUUCUCGCGGCAGCCGUGACCGCGAGCGCAAGCGAGGGGUUCCGUGGACGGAGGAAGAGCACAAGCUAUUCCUGCUGGGUUUGCAGAAAGUAGGGAAAGGAGAUUGGAGAGGUAUAUCGAGAAACUUUGUCAAGACCCGCACGCCGACGCAGGUCGCCAGCCACGCUCAGAAAUACUUUCUCCGCCGCAGCAACCUCAACCGCCGUCGCCGCCGAACCAGCCUCUUCGAUAUCACCACCGAUUCGGUCACGGCAACUCCAAUGGAAGAUCAAGUACUGGGGCAUCACCAAGAUACUGCCUCACAGCCACACCCAUUGCCACCUCCACCAUCGGUCGAUACUUGCAAUUUUAGUGUGCUUCCAGUUAUUCCUGCUUUUCCAGUGUCUGUUGGUCCAGCAGCAGUUCCAGUCCCCGUUGCCAGCCAAUUGGAAAACCCAAAUCUAGGACAGGGAAAUGUAGCUGCGUCAUCGAAGGUCAUCCGUCCGAUCCCUGUCCAUGUGGCUCCUCAUGCUCUAACUCUCUCUGGCCUUACCUUGAAAAAUAUGAAGUCAGCCACCGAUCCCCUACCGCUGACGCUAAAGUCAUCUUUGCCAUCCGGGCAAAGGGAGUCGCCAUCAAGGCACUCAGCUUUUCAGGCAAUGUCAAGCUUCAACAAUGGUGAUAGCAUAAUCACUGUAGCCUGAUGAAAUAUGGAAAAUGGCUCAUAAUUAGAGCAGAUGGAUUAGAUAAAUUUAUCUCAAAAGGAAGAGAUAAUGGGUUAGAGAAGACAAGGUGUUUGUGGAUCUACCCUCAAGUUAGUGGUUUUUAUGGCUAUUCUGGUUUCUUUUAUGACAGGUGGAGAGGCAUUUUCUUCCCCUUUUGGGUGAUGGGACACAAAUACAUUAAUAUUUUGUGAAAGUUUUGUGAGUGGACAAUCAAUAAUGGAUCAUGGUAGGUCUUGAGGUAUUUUUAGUGCUAUGAUGUGGAUCAUACAUUUUGAAGGUUUCUAUUGGAAGUAAUAGUUUAAAAAUGGGUGGGGGGGUUUUUGUUUUCACUACUUUAAAAUUAAAAGGAUGGGGGAGGGGACACAAAAUUCUGCGGAUGGAGUUCCUUUCUUGACUUUCUUGUUGAAAGGAUCGUUUGUCAAUUGUAAAAUAUAAAAAAAGGAUCUAUGAUAAGUGAGACUUUUUCCAAUUUUGAAAA